rnacentral:lncRNA from 1 species
GCUUGGGGAGGGACUGGUGAAGUACCGACCUGUAGUAGUCUAUGUGGGACUGGAUGCGCGCAUUGUGGUGCAUCUCGGUGACGUACUUCCUACAAGCUGUAGUAGCCGCCCGAUCCGCCUGGGCCUCAAGUCCUUCUUACUCGAAAACGAUUGAAUUUUUUACAUGUGGAGAUCACAUGUGGAGAUGUCUGGGUUUUGGACAUCUGGCGUCGCAACUUACUCGAAAACGAUUGAAUUUUUUACCAUAGCCUACACAUGUGUUAAUGUGAAACCUCGUAAAGUUUCGUGAUUUUUAGACCUCGUAUAGAUUUAAUAUAAUUUUAAAUCAAUUUUCUCAGAAGUGGCUAAUCAUGUCACACGUAAAAGAUGCGCGGAAUUUGAUUCCAGUUUGUGCGCAGGGACUCCACACACAUCAAAUAACAUGAAUAACAUUUUUUGAAAGACUACAGUUUAUUAUAUCAUGCACCUGCAGUUCAAAUUUAUAACAGCGGGAAAAUUACGACGAAUUAAAACAAAUUCAAGAAAUAUAUAUAAAAAAGUGAAAUUUGUGCCAAUUUUUAAAUUUGUGUUUAAAAUAUGUGAUUUGUGCCCACA